CCCGCUGUUCAAACUCAAUGCUGACUCCAAACUCAGCGGUAAAGUGUGGCUUGCUGGAGGCAGACUGAAGGGCUCCGUGACACUGGAGAACUUUACACUGACGCUGGCGGACAGUGAAGUGGGACCCUU